UACAGAGGGGGCAAGCGUUGUUCGGAAUUACUGGGCGUAAAGGGCGCGUAGGCGGCCUUCUAAGUCGAACGUGAAAUCCCUGGGCUCAACCCAGGAACUGCGUCCGAUACUGGAAGGCUUGAAUCCGGGAGAGGGAUGCGGAAUUCCAGGUGUAGCGGUGAAAUGCGUAGAUAUCAGGAAGAACACCAAUGGCGAAGGCAGCUCUCUGGGACGGUACUGACGCUGAGACGCGAAAGCGUGGGGAGCGAACAGG
rnacentral:rRNA from 1 species